rnacentral:misc_RNA from 1 species
UCUCCGUUGGUGAACCAGCGGAGGGAUCAUUACCGAAGUUACCUUCAAAACCCACUGUGAACCUUACCUCUUGCCGCGUUGUCUCGGCGGGAGGCGGUGUGCGUCGCGCGCCCUAGCGGGCCGUGCCGCUCCCGUCCCCGCCGGCAGCGCCAAACUCUAAAUGCACAGCGGACUGUACGUUCUGAUUUACAAAAAAACCGAGUUAAAACUUUCAACAACGGAUCUCUUGGUUCUG